rnacentral:rRNA from 1 species
AGAGUUUGAUCCUGGCUCAGGAUGAUCGCUGGCGGCAUGCCUAAUACAUGCAAGUCGAACGAGAGGAAGGAAAGCUUGCUUUUCUGAAUCUAGUGGCGAACGGGUGAGUAACACGUAGGUAACCUGCCCAUGUGCCCGGGAUAACUUCUGGAAACGGAUGCUAAAACCGGAUAGGUAGCAGACAAGCAUUUGACUGCUAUUAAAGUGGCUAAGGCCAUGAACAUGGAUGGACCUGCGGUGCAUUAGCUAGUUGGUGAGGUAACGGCCCACCAAGGCGACGAUGCAUAGCCGGCCUGAGAGGGCGGACGGCCACAUUGGGACUGAGACACGGCCCAAACUCCUACGGGAGGCAGCAGUAGGGAAUUUUCGUCAAUGGGGGGAACCCUGAACGAGCAAUGCCGCGUGAGUGAGGAAGGUCUUCGGAUCGUAAAGCUCUGUUGUAAGAGAAAAACGAUAUUCAUAGGGAAUGAUGAGUGAGUGAUGGUAUCUUACCAGAAAGUCACGGCUAACUACGUGCCAGCAGCCGCGGUAAUACGUAGGUGGCGAGCGUUAUCCGGAAUGAUUGGGCGUAAAGGGUGCGUAGGUGGCAGAACAAGUCUGGAGUAAAAGGUAUGGGCUCAACCCGUACUGGCUCUGGAAACUGUUCAGCUAGAGAACAGAAGAGGACGGCGGAACUCCAUGUGUAGCGGUAAAAUGCGUAGAUAUAUGGAAGAACACCGGUGGCGAAGGCGGCCGUCUGGUCUGUUGCUGACACUGAAGCACGAAAGCGUGGGGAGCAAAUAGGAUUAGAUACCCUAGUAGUCCACGCCGUAAACGAUG